AUCAGGGAAUCGGGAACCAAAAUGUCUGCCAAAACAAAAACCAGGUGGGGGUCAGAUGUCAAGCACUAUCAAAUUUCACACAGUGUUCUUAGGGAGAGUAGGCUUGUGAUGUGGCAGUUGCCUGAAAAAGAUUAAAGAUUAUCUUCAUUAUUUACAAUAUAAAUAAAAUUUAAAGAGAGAUUAUCUGCCAUUAUUUAAAAGGAGCUACUGAAACAUGGCGAGGAUCUUGCAGUUGUUGGUGCUGGUGUCUGCAAUGAUUCCUAGUUUUUGUGUUGAAAAAGAAAAUCAAGAGUUACUGUUGGUUACUAUAGCAACAGAAGAAAACGAUGGUCUGAGGAGGUAUUUGAGAAGUACAAAGAAAUACGACUUAGACACAAAGGUUUUUGGUCUGGGCACGGAAUGGCGGGGUGGAGAUAUGACAGCCCAGGGUGGAGGACACAAGAUUAACAUUCUGAAAGAAGAACUGGCCCAGUAUAAAGACAGAGAGGACCUUAUCCUUAUGUUCACUGACAGUUACGAUGUUGUGAUCACAGCAGGGGCUUCAGAGAUCCUAGAAAAGUUCAACAAGUUGGAUGCACGUGUUCUCUUCUCCGCUGAGGGUUUCUGUUGGCCGGAUUCUUCCCUUGCUAACACAUAUCCUGGUGUAAAACUUCAUGAAAAAAGAUUUCUUUGUUCUGGAGGAUUUAUUGGUUAUGCACGAGAUGUGUAUGAGAUUAUUUCCCAUAAUGCAGUGGCAGAUUCUGAUGAUGACCAGCUGUAUUACACAAAAAUAUUUCUGGAUGAAUCACUCAGGGAAAAAUGGAAUAUUAAACUGGACAAGAGGUCUGAAAUAUUCAUGAAUCUACAUGGAGCUCUUAGUGACAUCAUGCUUAAGUUUAAAGGUCAGCACAGUUUUCUCUACAAUGUAAAAACAGGGACAGUACCUAUUGUUAUACAUGGAAAUGGCCCAAUAAAGCCUGAGUUUAACAGAUUGGCCAAUUAUUUGGCAGAUAGUUGGACAACAAGUUCCGGAUGUUCGGCUUGUGAGGAAGAUACUAUAAGUCUUGAGGGGCUGCAGGAUGUAGAUUAUCCAACAAUAUUGAUGGGCAUAUUUGUGGAACACCCGACUCCAUUCUUGAGAGAAGCAUUGCAGAAAGUGGCUGGCCUCGAUUAUCCUAAACAGAAAAUUGAUCUCUUAGUCCAUAACAAAGUAAAGAACCACCAGAAAGACGUUGAACCUUUUGUGUCACAGUACAGCAAGUUAUACAAGUCUGUUAACACAAUAAAUGCUGCAGAUAGUGUGAGCGAGAAAGCUGCAAGGAACUGGGCAGUGGAGGAAUGUAUCAAGAAGGACUGUCAGUAUUUUUUCAAUGUUGAUGGAGAGGUACAUCUUGAUAAUGAUCAGACUUUAAAACUGCUCAUUCAGCAAAACAGGUCAGUUUUAGCACCAGUGAUGACCAGACGAGGCAAGGCAUGGUCAAACUUCUGGGGAGCACUUAGUGCUACAGGUUUCUAUGCUCGUUCAGAAGACUACAUGGAUAUUGUACACGGAGAUAAAAUAGGACUGUGGAAUGUUCCAUACAUGACAGGGGCGUAUCUUGUACAGGGUCAUGUUUUACCUUCGAUGAGGAAUGGUUAUGACUCCAGUAGCCUUGAUGCAGAUAUGGCCUUGUGUAAAACACUGAGAGAAAAGGGACAUUUUAUGUUUGUCACAAACAGAAAGGAGUUUGGAUAUCUAAUCAACUGUGAUGAAGCACAGACAGGACGCCUAAAUAUUGAAUUGUGGGAAAUUUUCAAUAAUCCAUAUGACUGGGAGAAACGAUACAUUCAUCCAAACUAUUCUCACAGUUUAGAGGAGACGUCUGUUAUAGAACAGCCGUGUCCCGAUGUGUUCUGGUUCCCGAUGAUGACGGACGAAUUCUGUGAUGAGAUAGUUGCAGAGAUGGAAUACUUUGAUGGAUGGUCAGGUGGCAAAAGCGAGGAUCCACGUUUAGAAUCAGGUUAUGAAAGUGUUCCCACAGAUGACAUUCAUAUGACUCAAGUGGGCUUGCAGGAACAUUGGCUUGAGGUUUUGAAAAACUAUAUAGUACCACUAACGCUUAAAGUAUACCCUGAAUUUUAUGAUGUUGAUGAUCCUCCAAGAGCCAUUUUGAACUUUGUUGUGAAGUAUAACCCAGAACGGCAGAGAGAACUGAGGCCCCAUCAUGACUCUUCCACAUUUACGAUAAAUAUUGCACUCAAUCGUCCGAAAAUAGAUUACGAGGGUGGUGGAUGUCGAUUCUUGCGAUAUAACUGUAGUGUAACUGAUUCACGUAAAGGUUGGAUGCUAAUGCAUCCUGGGAGAUUGACCCAUUUUCACGAAGGUCUUCCAACCACCAAAGGAACCCGCUACAUAUUCGUCUCAUUUGUAGAUCCAUAAAUGCUUAGUGAUUAGGGUAUAUGCUAGAUAUGUGUUCAUUACAUUGUUUACUAAUUAGAGCGUAUGUGACAUAUUCAGCAUGUAGCAAAAUAAUGUUAUUCAGUUUAAUGCUGCAGUUUAAGGCCAGUAAUUAAAGAUGUUCAUUUGUAUUUAGUAUGUUGUGUUUAUAAAGCUUUUAGAUGAAUUGAAUGAAAAAAUAAAGUGGAGGUCCCUGCUUAAACCGGUGUAAAAGUUUCAUUAUUAUGUAUGACUCGGAUUCUGUCUAUCAGUUGUUCAUAGGAGUUAUCACCAUCUGGUAGUAUUGCAACCUCAUGAAAGAACACGUCAAUAGGGUGACUGUAUGUACGUAUGUUUUAAAAAAUAAUUUGCUAUGUAGGGGUAAAUUUAAAUAAACUGGUACCAAAAUGCUGCUGAAUGUGGUAUCAGUCACCUGUAAUACAUGUGACCACUUGCCUUAGGCAGCUUGUCUGCUCACUUCACAGAUUGAUAUUUUGUUCUGAUUUCAUCUUGUCUUAAAUGGCCAACUGCUGUAGAAAGCCAUAUUGCUGGCUGCUUGAUCAGGUCUGAGUGUGAGCAUAUGCUUUUUCUAGUCAAAUAUUUUGUGUAUAUUUGUUUAAUGGAUCAACGCCAAAGAAUAAUUUGUGUUAAUUUGCAAAGCUGAACAUGUAUUAGCAUUUCUGUGGUAUUUUAUGACUUGUUUCUGUGUUUACUAUUUUGUGAAACUUUCUUUAUAAAUCAGAAGGGGAAAACACUGAAGUUAGGAAAAGUUUCUAGGUGACCCAUUUUAUUUUGGAAAUUACCGAGAUUUAGCGGAAGUUUUAUGUUAGAUGGAUAUUUUGAGUUUUUAUAUCGUAAUACUGUAUAGGGCUUUGUAUUUGCUGUAUUUUUGUUUUCGCUGUUUUCCAAAAUGGGCUGGUUCACAGUUAAUAUUUCAAUUAGUGCAUUUACAUAAAAUGCAAAAUGAUGUUUUUGCAACAGUGUUUUUUCUAUAGGGUAUAUAGUGCGUUUUAUUCGACAUGGCUGGGCGCAGUUAACCUCUGGCUUAUGCAAAUAAUUGUAAUCUCAAAAAACAAGGAAAAUAGGUAGAUCUACAGUGUAAGGUAGAUGGCCAGUGAAUAAGAAAUCACGCUACAAAAUAUACAACAAAUCUUGCACAAUAAUGCAAUGGACCAUUGCCAAACCCCGCCCCACCAGGUCGAUUGAAAUGCACUGUACUUUAUUGCAUUUCUGAUUGUCCACUUUUCAGCACAUGUUUUGAAAAUUGGGUAUAGAUAACUAAAUAUGGGUAAUCCAGAAUAAUUUGAUUCGCUUACAACACUGGGGAUUGCUGAUAUGUAUCAUAGUUCUAACAAGUCGUGCACACUAUAAUCGCCUCGCUUUUUAUAAUAUUAACUUGUUUGAAAACAGUUCACCAGCUGUCGCAACAAAAUGGAGCUCCUAAAAAGAUCUUUUGUAUGGGCAGGUUUAAUCACACCAGACAAAAACUGUUAGUGCAGGCACUACUUUUAAUGGGCACACAGUUAUUGUGUGUCAAUAAAAACAAUUAUCAGGUAUUUAGAGAAAAUGCAGAGAUCAAAUAAGAUAUACUUUAUAUAUUUAUGUAUGAAUGUUUAUUUACAUGUAAUUUAAAUAAAGUUGAAAUUAUGAUUUGAUACAAUUAUUUGAUUACUGUUAGAAUAAAUUUAUAUAGUGAAUAGAAUUGUCAUGACUUAACUUGGAGUUAUGUCCCAUGGUAUGAAAGACGAAAAAUUGUGUAACAUACUGAAUAUGUCCAUUUUAAAAUCACAGAUUUGGAAUUUGCUGAUAUUCAAAAUCCAUGAAAAUUGCAAAAAUGAAAACUCUGCAAAUAAAAGCCCCUAUACAGUCUUAGUAUUACAUUUCACUUGUUUACAUUUUUGGAGUAAAUAAACCAGGAUGUGUUUGUGUUGUAAGGUCUACAAUUUUUUGUGAUCUACAAUUUUUUUUAUAGAAUUUUACCAAAUUGUGGAAAGGUGUCUUUAUAUGAGAAUUAUGUCAAGGAUGUAUUUAUCAUGACAAAUGAUUUUACUUUCUAUUGUGCUUCUGUUGCUUUAUGUCUAUAACCUUUUAUAAGUGACACUUUUCUAAUAAGUACAAUGUUAAAUUUGUAAUGUUUUGCUGCCAUAUAUAUGUAUGUUGUAUUUUAUUUGCAAUUUCAGGUACAUUUCUCUUACUCAGUUUUAUGUUAUUCAGAUAUAUGAUUUUUUUUUAACUGCAUUUAAUAUGCAGGUUUUUAAGUCCACAAGAUUGACAGAUUUGUUCGCAAAGUGGUUUUAUUGACAGAUUGUAUGUAAAAAAAAAAUGUUUUUAAUAGUUUUCAAUGCUUUAGACAGUUUUGUAUCAGCUGAGAUCUGAUUGGUUUUUCAAAAGUACCAUGCAGUUACAUUAGAAAUGAGCUAAAUUUUGUAUAUUUGCAUUCAUCUGGAUGAUUUCGUAUAAUAUUUAGAUGCAUUACUGUUGGAAUAAUGCAUUGUUAUGCUGUAUCUUCCCUAACUAAUGCCCUCUUCCACCCCCACCCCCACCCCAAGCCACACCAUCUUAAAAAAAUGAAGUUAUGUUUUAAGGGAAUUACCAGCAUUAUGGUAGUACUAUAAUUGUUCAGUUCAUUUAUUAUAUGUUGGAAUUUUUGGUUGAUAUUUCCUAAAAGAAUAUAAAAAUAUCUUAUUUAUGGUCUUGAUAAAUACACUUCUUUUUGAAAAACGUAUUGCCCCUGAGGGCGUUAAUUAGGGAAUUGCCUGUUUGUUACUUUGAGUUGUUGCAUUUUGAUAAAGGUGAUAUUUUCAAUGUGUAUUUGAAUAUUAUUGUGUUUCAUUUGAAACUUACAGUGCAAUGGUUGUUUAUAUGUGCUGUCUUGUGCCAUAUAUUUAAUUCUAAUAUAAGUAUGCAAA
rnacentral:misc_RNA from 1 species